rnacentral:lncRNA from 1 species
UGAGAUCCACCACAAAAUCCACAAUCUUCUCACCAUUCUUGUCAUCUUUGACCUCCAUUGGCGAAUGAAGUCUGGAAAGAAGGAUUUGGAUUCUUACACUAUCAAAGGCACUAACAAAGUUGUUCAAAGUAUCUUGCCUGGCUAAUCAGGGAGAUGAAGGUACCACCACCGUCGAUGUAUGACUCAUUUGUGAGAUUGGACGGUUACAAGAGGACGAUUGGUGGCCAUUUAUGCUGUAGAAAGAACAGGGUGCUACGGUUUGGGAAAAAAAAUAAUGUUUCUUCUUCUUCAAAGCCUCUGACCCUCUCACGAACACACACAUAACCCUUUGAUUUUGGAUCAUUUGGUGUAUAUUAAUUGACCCGAUUGGAGGUGAUGCAUCAUUAUGAAUUUGGUUCUGAUUUGACGAGGCUAUAUUUUUUAUCAACAGGUUUUGCAUGAUUUGUUAAUAGUGGAGAAGGUAUGGUUUAAGGUUCUAGGAGUUUUAAGUAAAAAGUUUUAUAAGUUUUGGGGAUUUUGUGCUGCAAGUAUCUUUUGGAUUAGGUUUCAAGGAUGCUAAUUUUUUUUUUAUAAAAUAAUUACUAAUUUCAAGUUUGUUGAAAUUGAAAGCAAAAAUAGAAGCUUUGAUUUUUUGCAGGAAUUUCUUUCUUCUGGGUUCUUGAAUUGAGGGAAUAAGACGAGCCAGGGAUGACCUCGAAUUUUAACAGUAGGCACAUAAUUCUCUACAUAAGAAAGAAUGGAAAGCAUCCUAAUCCCGUGUUACUUUUAAAGAAGAUCUCAUUUUACUCACGUUUCACAGGAACUUUUAAGGUGUUAUUUAAUCUGCUCUGCUACUCUCAUAUUCAAAUUUGUUUUUUCAUUAUUGGAUGCACCAGGUGACUUGCUGUUUUGUUCUCUAUUAUAUUAUUAGUAUAUGUAAAAUAUGUUAUGAUGCUAUAUGUUAUCUAUCAAAAUGAGUAAUGACAGCUAGAUUAUUUGCUGGGUAUUUCCACUCAUGUCUUUCAUUUGACAUUUAUUUUGAAUCUUUAAUUCACCUUUCAUUUGACGAUGGCGAUUAAAAGAUCUAGUCCGGCGGUUUGGUGAAAAAUACAGAGAAAAUAAAGGGGGGGGGGGGGGGAUAAAACCGUACUAACAACGUUAUGUGGGAGGGUAGAACCGUGCUAAUUAGGGAUGAGCACAAUACCCAUUCGGUACCGAAAAACGAGGAAAAGUGGUACCGGUACCGGUGUUUUACCCAUAAAUACCGGUACCGUACCGGUAUCAAAAAACGGAGAAAAUGGGAACCGGUACCGAAUAUACACGAUUCGGUACCGGUACCCGGUACCAAAUGCUCAUACCUAGUGCUAAGUAGAAAGCCAAUAACGACCGAAACCGAGAAAAAGUGUAAAAUAAAAAAAAAAACAUGAAUUAUAAUACCAAAUAACUCACGUGACAUAAAACGUAGACAGACUCACAAUUAUACAACACAUAUUAGAAAAUUGAGGGGUCAAAUAGUUUUUAGAAAAUGGGGGGGGGGGGGGGUGAAAACUUUAAAACUAAAAGUUCCACCACAAAGGAUUAGUGUGUAAUGUGGUGGUGGCUAUUCUUGUUUGUAAAAGUGAGAUUAUUAAAAACCAAUUUUCCUUAGUUUUUCUAUAAAAAUGUUAGCCUGCUAGUGUAAAACUUUAUUAAUUUUUUUGUAAAAUGAUUUUUUUGCACUAUUAUGACUAGAGUUUAAUAAAUAUUUGUUGAAAACUAAAAUCUAGGUCAAAGAUGAAGUUUUCCUCAAAUACAUUUUAAACUUUACCGACACUGUAGCAAGUGGAAGGGUCUAGAGCUUAGACCCAAAUGAUCUAGUUGGUGGUACAAAGAUUGGACUAGAAGGGUGUGAGGUAAACGUUCAAGUACCAAUAAAAAAAAGAUGAAAACUUGGUUAGACCAUAUGGUUUAUUUUCUACAAUUCAAGAUUGUAUUGGUGCAUCCAUCGCAUGGCCCUAUCCAUUCAUCUCGGUAGUCUAU